rnacentral:rRNA from 1 species
ACCGUGAAUAACGGAGUGAAAUAGACCCUGAAACCAUACGCCUACAAGCGGUCGGAGCAGCGCAAGCUGUGACGGCGUGCCUUUUGCAUAAUGAGCCUACGAGUUACUGUUACCAGCGAGGAUAAGNNNNNNNNNNCCAUCCGGUAAGGCUAAAUACUCCUGAGAGACCGAUAGUGAACUAGUACCGUGAGGGAAAGGUGAAAAGAACCGUGAAUAACGGAGUGAAAUAGACCCUGAAACCAUACGCCUACAAGCGGUUGGAGCAGCUACGGCUGUGACAGCGUGCCUUUUGCAUAAUGAGCCUACGAGUUACUGUUACCAGCGAGGAUAAGUAUUUCAGAUACGAAUCCGCAGCGAAAGCGAGUCUGAAUAGGGCGUGAAUAGUUGGUAGUAGUAGACGCGAAACCUGGUGAUCUACCCUUGGGCAGGUUGAAGCGCUGGUAACACAGCGUGGAGGACCGAACUGGUUGUCGUUGAAAAGACUUCGGAUGACCUGAGGGUAGGGGUGAAAGGCCAAUCAAACUGGGAAAUAGCUCGUACUCCCCGAAAUGCAUUUAGGUGCAGCGUUGAAGUGAGUUUAAUAGAGGUAGAGCUACUGAUUGGAUGCGGGGGUUUCAUCGCCUACCAAUUCCUGACAAACUCCGAAUGCUAUUAAAUACUCAUCAGCAGUGAGGGUAUGGGUGCUAAGGUCCAUAUCCGAGAGGGAAAGAACCCGGACCAUCAGCUAAGGUCCCCAAAUAUAUGCUAAGUUGACCAAACGCGGUCUGACUGCACUGACAGCUAGGAUGUUGGCUUGGAAGCAGCCAUACAUUUAAAGAGUGCGUAACAGCUCACUAGUCGAGCGGUUGGGCAUGGAUAAUAAACGGGCAUAAGCAUAUUACCGAAGCUAUGGGGUUAUUACUUAAGUAAUAUACCGGUAGGGGAGCAUUCUAUAGGCGUUGAAGCUAAAGGCGUGAGCCAUAGUGGAGCUGAUAGAAAAGAAAAUGUAGGCAUAAGUAACGAUAAGGCAGGCNNNNNNNNNNAUAAGUAAUAUACCGGUAGGGGAGCAUUCUAUUGGCGUUGAAGCUAAAGGCGUGAGCCAUAGUGGAGCCUAAUAGAAAAGAAAAUGUAGGCAUAAGUAACGAUAAGGCAGGCGAGAAACCUGCCCGCCGAAAGAUCAAGGUUUCCUCAGCUAUGCUAAUCAGCUGAGGGUUAGUCGGGGACUAACGCGAACCCGAGUAGGGGUAGUGGAUGUACAACGGGUUAAUAUUCCCGUACCAUUAAUCUAAUAAAAGUGACGGAAUGAGAUAGCUACCGCGUACAGACGGAAUAGUACGUUUAAGGAGUUGUUAUGACUUCAAAAGUACACCGAGGCUUCGGCUGAAGUGAGAGUGGCGACAACGUUUCCAAGAAAAGCGAAGAUUAAUGCCCGUACCGUAAACCGACACAGGUGAUUGGGAUGAGAAUUCUAAGGCGCUCGAGAGAUUCAUGGCUAAGGAACUAGGCAAAAUAGACCUGUAACUUCGGGAGAAAGGUCGCCUAUCUAGCGAUAGGCCGCAGUGAAAAGGUCCAAGCGACUGUUUAUCAAAAACACAGGACUCUGCAAAAUCGAAAGAUGAAGUAUAGGGUCUGACACCUGCCCGGUGCUGGAAGGUUAAGAGGAGAGCUUAGCGUAAGCGAAGGUUUGAAUUGAAGCCCCAGUAAACGGCGGCCGUAACAAUAACGGUCCUAAGGUAGCGAAAUUCCUUGUCGGGUAAGUUCCGACCUGCACGAAUGGUGUAACGAUUUGGACACUGUCUCGGCCAUGAGCUCGGUGAAAUUGUAGUAUCGGUGAAGAUGCCGAUUACCCGCAGUGGGACGAAAAGACCCUGUGCACCUUUACUAUAUCUUCGUAUUGGUCUUGGAUAAGUGAUGCGUAGGAUAGGUGGGAGACUAAGAAGCGGCUAUUCUGGUAGUUGUGGAGUCAUUGUUGAAAUACCACCCUUUGCUUAUCUGAGGUCUAACUUUGCGCAAGGCAAAGGACAAUUCGUGGAGGGUAGUUUGACUGGGGUGGUCGCCUCCAAAAGAGUAACGGAGGCUUCUAAAGGUUCCCUCAGCACGCUUGGUAACCGUGCGUAGAGUGCAAUGGCAUAAGGGAGCUUGACUGAGAGACCUACAAGUCGAUCAGGUACGAAAGUAGAG